AUCACACAACAUAGACUACCAAAUAACCUUAGACAAAAAUACACGAAAUAAAAGUCGAGUGAAAAUGGUUAUAAAUGUCUUUAUCAAUUAUGAGUAGCUCAACAAUAUCGACUUUUGGACACUGAUGCGCAGGAGAACCCCUAGCUGUCAAUCAAGCAGGCGCGGUGAACCGAUUUAUGACGCUCAAGCGUUUCAAAUGACGCAACAAUACAGCUCCAGACCAGAGAAAGUUCAUGCCAAAGAUAUUAUUCGGUUCCACACUAAAACUGCGCUUUGACACGUGUGAUUUGAGAAAUAAAACUUGUAGACCUUUACUACAGUCUCUGAGGAGAUGGACACCUCUUCUUCUUCUGGACGAUCUCCGUCUCCUACUGGGACUGUCUUCUUACCCCCUCCUAUCAUGUGGAACAGUCUCUACCAGCAGGCAGAGAUGGAGGUUCAGUUCCUGAGAGAAGAGAAGAAGACCUGUACAGAGAAGGAAGCCCACAUGCUUGAGUUGAGGGGGAAGGAUCGAACGAUCCGAAAUCAGAACAAGGAAAUGGACAGACUUCAAGUCUGCCUCUGGGAGGAGGAAAAGAAGAAGAGGAAUGGUGGAACGGAGAAGGACAAGAUCAUUGAACAAUUACAGUCUGAGACAGACCAUCUCAGAUCCCUUUUAGAAGAGGUAAGGAGAAGAAGAAGAGUAGAAAGGGGUCUAAUGAAAGAGUGGAAGGUUGAAAUCCUGAGCCAGAGAGAAGCAGAGAGCCAGAGAGAGGCAGAGAGACAGAGGGAGGCAGAGAGACAGAGGGAGGCAGAGAGACAAAGAGAAGCAGAGAGACAGAGAGAGGCAGAGAGACAGAGGGAGGCAGAGAGACAGAGAGAGGCAGAGGGAGGCAGAGAGACAGAGAGAGACAGAGAGAGGCAGAGAGACAGAGGGAGGCAGAGAGACAGAGAGAGGCAGAGAGACAGAGAGAGGCAGAGAGACAGAGAGAGGCAGAGAGACAGAGAGAGGCAGAGAGACAGAGGGAGGCAGAGAGACAGAGAGAGGCAGAGAGACAGAGGGAGGCAGAGAGACAGAGGGAGGCACAGAGAGUCACAGAAGCGAAGGAGAACAACAGAAAAAUGCAGGAGAUCAAGAGCCUCAAACAUCUGCUGGAGCUACUGAUGGUGGAUCUACAACUGGCCCACCAAGAGAUAGAAAGAUUGAGGCUAUGGCAGAAAGUCAUGGAGGAUCAGCGACCAAGACUGGCCUGGAACAACAAACCUAUUGAGACAGAAAGAGAGAGGGAAAGAGAGAGGGAAAAGAGAGAGAAA